UACGAAGGGGGCGAGCGUUAUUCGGAUUCACUGGGCGUAAAGCGUGCGCAGGCGGUUGUGUAAGACAGAUGGGAAAUCCCCGGGCUCAACCUGGGAAUUGCAUUUGUGACUGCACGGCUAGAGUGUGUCAGAGGGGGGUAGAAUUCCACGUGUAGCAGUGAAAUGCGUAGAGAUGUGGAGGAAUACCGAUGGCGAAGGCAGCCCCCUGGGAUAACACUGACGCUCAUGCACGAAAGCGUGGGGAGCAAACAGG
rnacentral:rRNA from 1 species